UGNGAGCAGUGGUUCUUCCUUCAGGUAU
rnacentral:piRNA from 1 species